AACGUAGGGGACGAGCGUUGUCCGGAUUUAUUGGGCGUAAAAGAGCUUGUAGGCGGUUUGUCGCGUCUGCUGUGAAAUUUCGGGGCUCAACCCCGAACUUGCAGUGGGUACGGGCAGACUAGAGUGUGGUAGGGGAGACUGGAAUUCCUGGUGUAGCGGUGAAAUGCGCAGAUAUCAGGAGGAACACCGGUGGCGAAGGCGGGUCUCUGGGCCGAAACUGACGCUGAGGAGCGAAAGCGUGGGGAGCAAACAGG
rnacentral:rRNA from 1 species